rnacentral:lncRNA from 1 species
CUCCAGAGGGCGCCAGAGUGAUUCCAUGCUAAGCCGUGGCUAAGGAAGUCCCCAGGAAUACAGUGGAAAGAGGUCGGCUGCAGAGUCAGAAAGACCUGGGCUACAAACCUGAUUCUACUUCUUCCUUGACAAGUGGCCUUGGGCAGUGCACUUGACCUAUUAGAGUUUCAGCUUGCUGGUCUGUAAAAUGAGGGUUAGCAAUACCCUACUUCUAAGGGUUGCUGUGAAGACUCCAUGAGAUAAAGGAUUCAGGAUUAAAUGAGAUAACAAAGACCAAGAAGGCAGGGGAGACAUAGAAUGAUUGCAAAAGAUCUGUGUUACCACUGGCACCUUAAGUCCAUUACCCGCACACUGAAUUAAGGCCGACUGGUCAUAGAUGGUCAGUUUUCACAUAUCCAUCAGUGUUCUUAUAAUAAAACUGGAAUUUAGUGAAGAGCAUAUUCCAGAAUUCACAUUGGCCUUUGUCAUGGCCUUGUUUUCAAUCAACAGAUGCUAAGCACUGUGGCUGCUCUGUGCGGGGGUCUGCAGAUGGCUUUGCCAUGAAACAAGAGUCCUCAGAGGCCCCCAGGAAGGUCAGGAACUACCGAGACAAUGCAGGAAACUCUAAAGGAGCAAGCCUCUCCUGCUGGGCCAGAGGGGCCGGACUGGAUUGGAACUCAGAGCUAACUCCAAAGACCUCAGACUCUCAGCUCUAUAAAGCUGCUUCUCCAACUGGAAGUCAAGAUUCCCCCAGGGAAGCCGAGGAAAGCACUGUGACGAUGCUGAUGCUGGUGGCCAUUACUGGGCAUCUGCUAUGAAUGGAUACAUACCCAGAUGCGAAUAACGAUGGCAGUUACUGUUGAGCAUCUACAGUGUGUAUUUUACACUCAUCACUGCAUGUACUCUUCUCAUUACACCUAGGAGGUAAAUGUCAUUAUUCCCAUUUGACAAAAGACAAAAAUAGGGUGAGGCAGCUGCCUAGCCUCACUGGUUGUGGAACAACCAGAAUUUCCAAACCGAGGUUAUUCUGGCUCCAAAGUCUUCCUACUCACUUAACCCACUGCUGUUCCUUGUUCUGCUGGCCUCAUAUGACCUGAGUUUUCAAUGAGCAAAUCCUAGUUUCUUCACCGGACCCAAAUCCCAUCUGCACUUUUAUUCCCACCACUGCUCACCUGUCAGGAAGAACUGAUGACAUUUUAUCCCCUGUG